AAUCUCGUAAUGGAGCCCGAUCAAAAUAAUUAAACAAAAACCUUAAACGCUUUCCGAAUGCAUAAAUCAAAGAAAGUCCACUUCCGACGAACGCUGAGCUCAUUUCGCCUUGAGACAAUCAAGAACGCAUUUUGCCAGUAGAUCACGCUCCAAAGUCCGCAACAACCUUUCGGAUACUCGAUGAUCAAAUACAACAAUGUUUCGAGCGUCGAAAAUCAGUUCUCUCUGCAAGAGCGCGCGAUUUUUUCCCCUGUGGCGGUAAGUUUUUGAUGUAUAUUUAUUGAACAAAUGCGUGCAACUCAGUCAAUUGGUCUGAAACUGGAAUUCCAUCCGGCCGUUUCUUCUUCAAAAAUCUCGGAAGCAAACUGAAGCAAAAAACCGAUUUUCCCAUUCGGGAACGUGGUUGGCAUCGGUAGUCUCACGCGCACACAUAGCAGCUAUGCGGCAGGCAACAUGGCCAACGCCGUGCUGCGUUCGAAAUUGCCACCUUCACAGCUAAAAUGUUUUAGUUUUGAACAAGGCAAAAAUGGGAAAAUAAUGGCGACAAUUUGGGUUCAUUGGCUGUAUUCGGGUUAUUGGGCAAUCGGCUAAAGCCACUCGAGUUUGUAAAAGGUCAAAACUCGACUUUUUUUUACUUACUUGGCUCUCAGUGCUAGUUGUCGAUCAUUCGGGCAGACGAAGCGGCUAGAAGUGGUUCCCACAUCGACCAUUUUCUAGAAAACCGAAGAAAAAAUCGUUUGAUGGCAAAGACAGACAGUGCACGUGCCGAAAUUUUAGCCAGUCAGGCGGGUUUAAAGGGGAGAAUCUCCCUUCAGCUUCAAAUUAAAUUGGGAACAGGGCCAAGGGGGCCGACAUAAUUAUCCAAUUCCUUUGGAAGCAGCCGAUCGAAAAAAAUCCAAUAAAUCGCCCAACUGACUGACACAAGGGGAAACACUCGAAUUAAGAUAUUUUACCGAAAUCCGUGCCGACUUCGAAAAAGUCGCGUUGAAAGCAAUGGAGACUUACGCAAAUAUUUAUCGAACACAAGCCUGGAAACGUGUUUUGGGUCCCCUUUUUUCUCCUCUGCUUCUAAUGCGAUUCCGGUUUAUGGAAAUGGAGAAACGGCACGUUUUCCAGAUGUUUUUGGGGGAGCGUUUGAAUCGCGUGGCUGUCGCACACAAACAGACGAACGCUGACGCGACGCCUGUUGAAUGUUUUGCUGGCAGGCGUCCCUCCAGCUCCGUAAUGCGACUUUUUCCCUUUCACAACCAGAAAAAUAUUUCAAAAUUGCCAUUUUUGCAGUUUGCAACUGUGAAAAUGUUGCCAAAUCGCGGUCGGUUUAC